GACAAGGAGGGCAAGAGUGAUCACUGACUCGGUGCCUUGGAUGGCGGAGCUCCCGUGUUGUUCCUUACGUGUGACAGCUAUUUCAUCUCAAGCUGAUCCCAUAAAGUGGAUACUGUUAUUAGCCCUAUUUUACAAUCUGCCCAAGAGGGGGUGAGGCCUGGAAGUGAGGCGGGCAGAGAUGGGACGUACAUCACAAAGUCUGGAGAGGGCGCCUCCAGAUGCUUCUUUGCAGGGCUUGCUGCCUCUUGAACCAUGAACUUUGUCUCAAAAGCCAUCUGGUUUCUCGUCUCGAAAACAUCCCACGACAGCUCUGAGUGCUGCAAACCAGGCUGGGUCAUCUGCUGCUGCUGGCUUCCAGAUAUUGCUCCAAACGUUUCUGCAAGGCUGGUGACGUCCCAAGACACUGAGACUUUAGAUGCCCCCUGCCCAAUAUUUGGUAGUGCUC